CGGAUCUGCUUGGUGUGCUCCAAAUUCAGAUAGCAGCGAAGAAAAGGCUGAUGGGGGUAUCGCAGAAAACGGAGCGCCCUUGGGGCUGUAGCCUAAGCGUCUCCCCUCCCUUCCUCACGCCGAGAACAAUGUAGGGACUACUAAGGGACGCCGGGACGGACGUGUGGGAAUCCAGCAUUCCUCCAGCCCCUUUCCUCCUGCCCCCUUCCCCCAAUCUCGCCCACAGCUGCUUGCACUGGGGAAAGUCCCCUAGCCUUGAUCGGACCUGUCCUAGAAGCCUCAACUACAGAACCUAGAAAGGUCUGUUCUGCCGGGAAAGGACAGCUAGAGCCAGCUGGGCCCCACCACGACCUGAUCGGCUCCUCAGCCAAGCUAGAGGCCUGGGCCAGGUGGAAGACAGUGACUGGUAGCCUGUUCCUAGCCUUCAUGGUACACCCAGGCCCAGAGCCUGGGGCACAUAAACUUCCCAGAACACAUGUCAGGUCCCUGGCACAAGGACCA
rnacentral:lncRNA from 1 species